AUAGGCAUCUUAUUAAUAUAUUUUUUAUGAUCACGUUUGAUUUCACUUUUGCCUCAUUUAUUCAUUAUCUUUUCUAUAUUAUUCGAUUCUUGAUUCUUUCCUCGGAAAUAAGUAAAGUUUGCUACAAAUCAAAUCACGUGAUAAACACUGCGAGUUCAAUUAUUAGCUAUCGAACUAUCGAUAUUAAAAUCGGUUUUUGUAUUGUUGAGUUAAUUGUGAUUUGCCGUUAUAAAGAUCGUUUGUUAUAAUAAAUAAUUAAAUAAAUAAAUAAAUAAAUUUUAUUUAGGAAUUAUUAUUUUAAAAAUUAUUCAUUACGUUAUAUAUAUGCAUUCUUUGAAAAUAUACGCGAUCCUUUCAACCUACUAUGAGUACAUUUUUCAAGAUCGAAAUCGAAAUUUUACACUGACGAUCCGUGAUAUGAUGUACAUGUACGAAAUGUUCGAUCAGUAUUAAUCGAUCCUCGCAUAUCAAAUUUUUAAGUAAGUAAAAUCCUCUUUCCAAUAUCAUUUUCCAUCCAUUUGGAUUUUGCCGAAACGUAAUUUUAUUCCAUUUCUUCAAUUGCAGAAAACGAGCCAAUUUGAUUCUCGACGAUUUCCACUGUUAAAGUGUAUAUCUCCCCUCUCACGUCACGACAAGGGGGGGAGGGAUUAAGAAACGACAAGGACCGAGACGAUAUUUCGUUAUUCAACUGAAAUGGCCAAAUCCAGAUCGCUCAAUAAACUUCCUGAACAUCUCGUACAGUUGAUAACUCGCAGAAGCACAGGAAGUGGUCGUCGCAAGGAUUCAUGACGCAGAGCCAAGCGAAACGGCUUUGAACAGGAUAUGACCACGUCUCGUACUAAUCAUAUAUAUAUAGAUAUAUAUAUAUAUAGACGAAGGAGACGAGUGACAUCUACCAGCUCACCGCACAAGGAUCGAGAGUCUGUCAAGCUCUGCAAUGCUUCAUUCCUUAAAACGGAACACCGGUUUUCCUGGUACCCGGCAAUAUUAAUUCGUACAUUUGUAGGCCGACGUCUACACAAUUGUAUUUUGUUCAUCGCUGUGUCGUCGAACGUGGAAAUUGAAUAUCUCUCUCGUUCGAGAGUGCGUACAAAAACAACGACAGACGAGUGAACGCUCCCUAACUUAUCUUUCGAGAACUAAAGCGCGCGGGAUUUUUCUCGUUCGAAUCUGGGGACUAACGUCUACGAUAGGGGGUUAUCUACCGAUAGAAAAUUUGCGGCCAAACUGGCCAAGAAUCGAGGAUCUUAUCGAGGUAAAAAAGGGAGGCGGAUCCAUUGAAAUAUUCGCAUGGAUGUCAAGAGGACCUUUUUUUGGAUGCAGAAAUUAAUUUUAUUCUAUUAUUUUCUAUAUAUUAUGUUAUAAAAUAUUAUAAUAUUGAUUAUAUAAAUGUGAAAUUUAUAUAUAUAUGUAACAUUCUUGUGCAA